ACAAUGGGUUGGACUAUGACAUCGUGCCGAACUGAAGCUGCUCUCAGGAACUUCUAUAGAUGAGCUGAAGGCUUAAAUGUAACAUGAAGAAAUUACAGGGACUGCAUUACUGGAGAUGAUGAUAGCAGUCAUGGGACAACUUAAAGUCUCUAGAUAACAUAUGCGUAAGAAAGAAUGGACUCAAGAAAACGGAAGAUAACUUAUUCCGAACCCAGUCACAUGAAUUCUUCCAUGAUAGGACUGAAGAGACAAGAAUGUCACAAGCAGACUGAGAGUAUGAACAGAAGGUGCUUGCCAAAGUCUGAGGUUCCCAAUAAUCUAAGUUCAGUUACUUUAACACUUGGACUGAAUAUAGGGAUAAGCAAACCAAUAAUUGUGUGUCCUUUGUCAGUGACUAUAAUCAGGAACCAACACUGCUGUUUGUGGACAUUAGUUGCUGCAACAAUUGCCAGAAAGCUUGUGGCAACUAAGUAUCUAUCUAUCAAUAAUUAAUCUGACACAGAACUGUCAAUUCUAGAAGGACCCUUCUUAUCUACCAGUGAUUCCUACCUGAGCAGAAAAUACAACUACAGCAUUGAUAGCAUACUAGGUGAGAGUUCCCUGAGCACUGCCUAAAGAACUUGAUGCAGACAUUCCAUUACGGACUGAGUUCUGAGGUCUCUCAAAGCCGGGUUGUGGAUCUCUGUAUUUGUUCCCAACUGCUCUGGAAGGAAGCUUCUCUGAUAAUGGCUAAGCAAGACACUUAUCUACGAGAAUUGUUGAAUGUCAUCAGAAGUCAAUGACCUAUAUUUUGAAAACUGUGUAAUUGUUCUUACCCUAUGUAUCUCUGCUAUUUUGUCUGUUUUUUAAGUACUCAGGCAGUGCUGGGUAUAGAUUACAUCUCCUGUGGUGGACAUUCAAUUAAAUCAGGUAUUGUUACUUACACAAGCUUUGUGCCACCAUUGCCCUAGCAUAUCUUGCAGGAAAAUCAAAGAGUUUAUAACUGGUUUGGUAAUUAAGAUACUUCUUGGGAAUCAGAGUACUUUCUGUAGUAAAGAGGCAACUAUGUAGGACUGAAGGCUCUAUGUAGACACCAGCAUAACUAUCUGUUCCAUUUCACUUUCUUAGGGAGGUCUAAUUUCCCCUUUUGUUCCCUUACUCUAUACAUUACUUCUAUGGUUCAAUAAACCAUUGGUUACUAUUGACUUAUUAGCU
ensembl:lincRNA 4930548G14Rik RIKEN cDNA 4930548G14 gene